AGUGAACGCUGGCGGUAGGCCUAACACAUGCAAGUCGAACGGCAGCACAGUAAGAGCUUGCUCUUACGGGUGGCGAGUGGCGGACGGGUGAGGAAUACAUCGGAAUCUACUUUUUCGUGGGGGAUAACGUAGGGAAACUUACGCUAAUACCGCAUACGACCUACGGGUGAAAGCAGGGGAUCUUCGGACCUUGCGCGAUUGAAUGAGCCGAUGUCGGAUUAGCUAGUUGGCGGGGUAAAGGCCCACCAAGGCAACGAUACGUAGCUGGUCUGAGAGGAUGAUCAGCCACACUGGAACUGAGACACGGUCCAGACUCCUACGGGAGGCAGCAGUGGGGAAUAUUGGACAAUGGGCGAAAGCCUGAUCCAGCCAUACCGCGUGAGUGAAGAAGGCCUUCGGGUUGUAAAGCCCUUUUGUUGGGAAAGAAAAGCAGCAGGUUAAUACCCCGCUGUUCUGACGGUACCCAAAGAAUAAGCACCGGCUAACUUCGUG
rnacentral:rRNA from 1 species